rnacentral:rRNA from 1 species
CCUACGGGAGGCAGCAGUGGGGAAUAUUGCACAAUGGGCGAAAGCCUGACGCAGCAACGCCGCGUGAAGGAAGACGGCUUUCGGAUUGUAAACUUUUGUUCUUAGUGAAGAAUAAUGACGGUAGCUAAGGAGCAAGCCACGGCUAACUACGUGCCAGCAGCCGCGGUAAUACGUAGGUGGCAAGCGUUGCCCGGAAUUACUGGGUGUAAAGGGAGCGAAGGCGGGACGCCAAGUCAGCUGUGAAAGCUACGGGCUUAACUUGUAGACUGCAGUUGAAACUGGUUAUCUUGAGUGAAGUAGAGGUUGGCGGAAUUCCGGGUGUAGCGGUGAAAUGCGUAGAUAUUAGGAGGAACAUCGGUGGCGAAGGCGGCCAACUGGGCUGUAACUGACGCUGAGGCUCGAAAGUGUGGGGAGCAAACAGGAUUAGAUACCCCUGUAGUC